UAAGCAUAUCAGUAAGCGGAGGAAGAGAAACUAACCAGGAUUCUCCCAGUAACGGCGAGUGAACGGAGAUUAGCCCAUCACCGAAGUCUAUUCACGUUUGUGGACAGGACAAUGUGGUGUUAAGGCAUGCGCCUUGGAUCUGUUGACCUGCUCAAAGUCCAAUUAUGAUUGUGGCUUUGUAUAUUGCCAUUGAGGGUGAAAGCCCCGUUUGGGCAGGUUUGUUUGUAUAUAUAAACGGGUCCUCGAUGCGUAUGCCAUCGAGUCGGAUUGCUUGAGAAUGCAGUCCAAAGUGGGUGGUAAACUCCAUCCAAGGCUAAAUACUGGCACGAGUCCGAUAGUAGACAAGUACCGUGAGGGAAAGUUGAAAAGUACUCUGAAGAGAGAGUAAAUAGUACGUGAAACCGCUUGCAGGGAAUCAGGUGGAGUCAAGCUACGUGCUUGGAGGUUUGGCAUGCGGCCCUUGUUGUGUCCGGAUAUGGAGUGUGAUAGCUUGGAAUAGGCUGGGUGCAUUCGUGUGCUUCAAGUCAUUCUGGGUAGUGUGAUUGAUUGCUGCUCCUAUCUCCGAGGCCGUGUGCGGAAUCUUCCAUUGGCACACAUCACGGUUCAUGGUGUGUUGUGCUUAAUGAUUGCCUAACAGUGCUUUGGCCGAUAACUAUUGGCUGGGCGCUGAAUGGAAGGUGGUGUCAUUGGGUUUCGGCCCCGCUUCUGUGUUGACACUUAUCUUACGGUCUCGACCGUCUGGCAAUCAUUAAGCAUCCGCGUCAUGUGAAAGGGAACUAAACGUUUCGAGUGGUUCAUCCUCGGAUGGGCCGCUUAUCAAUGACCGUGGUGCUGUGGUAGACGUUCCACCUGACCCGUCUUG
rnacentral:rRNA from 1 species